rnacentral:rRNA from 1 species
AUUGAACGCUGGCGGCAGGCCUAACACAUGCAAGUCGAGCGGAUGACGGGAGCUUGCUCCUUGAUUCAGCGGCGGACGGGUGAGUAAUGCCUAGGAAUCUGCCUGGUAGUGGGGGACAACGUUUCGAAAGGAACGCUAAUACCGCAUACGUCCUACGGGAGAAAGCAGGGGACCUUCGGGCCUUGCGCUAUCAGAUGAGCCUAGGUCGGAUUAGCUAGUUGGUGGGGUAAUGGCUCACCAAGGCGACGAUCCGUAACUGGUCUGAGAGGAUGAUCCGUCCCACUGGAACUGAGACACGGUCCAGACUCCUACGGGAGGCAGCAGUGGGGAAUAUUGGACAAUGGGCGAAAGCCUGAUCCAGCCUUGCCGCGUGUGUGAAGAAGGUCUUCGGAUUGUAAAGCACUUUAAGUUGGGAGGAAGGGCAGUAAGUUAAUACCUUGCUGUUUUGACGUUACCGACAGAAUAAGCACCGGCUAACUCUGUGCCAGCAGCCGCCGUAAUAC